rnacentral:rRNA from 1 species
AUGAACGCUAGCGACAGGCCUAACACAUGCAAGUCAGGGCAGCACAAGGAGCAAUCUGAGGUGGCGACCGGCGCACGGGUGAGUAACACGUAUGCAACCUGCCUGUAAGCGGGGAAUAACCCGUUGAAAGACGGACUAAUACCGCAUAAUACUAAAUUACUGCAUGGUAAUUUAUUUAAACAUUUAUGGCUUACAGAUGGGCAUGCGCAUGAUUAGCUAGUUGGAGAGGUAACGGCUCCCCAAGGCAACGAUCAUUAGGGGUUCUGAGAGGAAGGUCCCCCACACUGGUACUGAGACACGGACCAGACUCCUACGGGAGGCAGCAGUGAGGAAUAUUGGUCAAUGGACGAGAGUCUGAACCAGCCAAGUCGCGUGCAGGAAGAAUGUCCCUAUGGAUUGUAAACUGCUUUUGCAGGGGAAUAAAGUGCAUCACGUGUGAUGUUUUGUAUGUACUCUGCGAAUAAGGAUCGGCUAACUCCGUGCCAGCCGCCGC